GUCCACGCCCUAAACGAUGACGACUAGUUGUUGGGGGAGUUAAAUCCCUCAGUAACGCAGCUAACGCGUGAAGUCGUCCGCCUGGGGGAGUACGGUCGCAAGAUUAAAAACUCAAAGGAAUUGACGGGGGCCCGCACAAGCGGUGGAUGAUGUGGUUUAAUUCGACGCAACGCGAAAAACCUUACCUACCCUUGACAUGUGAGGAACCCUGCAGAGAUGCAGGGGUGCCCGAAAGGGAACCUCAACACAGGUGCUGCAUGGCUGUCGU
rnacentral:rRNA from 1 species